AAGUGUCUUCAGUCAGAUAAGAACAGAACAAAAUAGCUACUUGUUAUGAAGUAUAAAGUGAAGACUGCUGUCUUUACAUCUACCAAUUUUUGUUGUUAUGAUAUCAGGAGGGUAUCAACUUAAAAUUUUUUUGACGUUUAAUUUUUAAAAAUUACCUUUGCUAAUUUAAUAGGUACAAGAGUUGUUUAGGAUUCUGCACCUGCAGCCCAUCUUGUCAUAGAUUGCUGUUCUCAGACUCCUUAAGAAAUGUAACACAAAAGACUACAGCCCAGGGCAUGGUCUACACUCCUCACUAAAGCUUCAGGCUCCAUCUUUGUCUGCUGUAUAACCCUGGUGAGCUUACCUGCACAGUAAACUCAAUGAUCUGCUUCACCCUUUCCACUGAAAUCCUGGAACCAACACUCAGAUGCAGAAUGCUGGGCCAAGAAUUGACUAUAAAAGGCUUUGCCUACUGGGGAUCCAGGACUGGCAUUCAAAUUAAAAUGUGA
rnacentral:lncRNA from 1 species